rnacentral:rRNA from 1 species
CACGUAGUUAGCCGGGGCUUCUUAGUCGGGUACCGUCUUCCUUCUUCCCCGCUGAUAGAGCUUUACAUACCGAGAUACUUCUUCACUCACGCGGCGUUGCUGCGUCAGGGUUUCCCCCAUUGCGCAAUAUUCCCCACUGCUGCCUCCCGUAGGAGUUUGGGCCGUGUCUCAGUCCCAAUGUGGCCGGCCACCCUCUCAGGUCGGCUACUGAUCGUCGCCUUGGUGGGCCUUUACCCCGCCAACUAGCUAAUCAGACGCGGGCCCAUCCCAUACCACCGGAGUUUUUCGCGCGUGGCCAUGCGGCCACGUGCGCUUAAGCGGUAUUAGCGGUCAUUUCUAACCGUUAUCCCCCGGUAUGGGGCAGGUUACCCACGCGUUACUCACCCGUCCGCCGCUAAGUCGCUCCCGCUUCCUUCCGAAAAUUCCGCAUGAGCGCUUCGCUCGACUUGCAUGUGUUAAGCACGCCGCCAGCGUUCAUCCUGAGCCAGGAUCAAACUCU